AUUGGCAAGGAAUGAUGAAUCAAUUAGAUGCGUGAAGUUUUCUUAUGAACAUAACUUUUAUAUAUUCUUCUGACCUGGCAUGU
rfam:Zea mays cultivar B73 chromosome 3, whole genome shotgun sequence.